UCAUAUAAAAUCGCUCAAAGAAGAUUUACCUCAAAUACAUUUUGAUUAUUUUGCUGACCAAAUAGAUCUAGAUAUAAUGUGUAAAUUUAUAGUUUUGGCAUUUAUCUUAGCUGUGAUGUUAGUGUCCAGCAUACAUACUGCAGCUGUUAGUGAAAAUUUAGAUGGGGAGGCUUAUGGUUUACAUCGAGCGAAAAGAUCGGCAUGUAAUCUUCCUGACUGGGAAAUAAAAGGAUUUAAACUCAGCGAAGGACUUUGUGGGCUUAAAUGUUACAUUUUUAAGAAAAAAAGCGGUUACUGUAGCCUGAAUAAUACAUGUGUAUGUUACUAGAUAUUUGUUAAUUAGUACCAUGAAUAUAUUUUCUAUAUUUUUUUAUAAAUACAUAUUAUGAUAGUA